GAUGAACGCUGGCGGCGUGCCUAACACAUGCAAGUCGAACGAAGCAUUUAAGUGAAUCCCUUCGGGGUGAAGCUUAUCUGACUUAGUGGCGGACGGGUGAGUAACGCGUGAGUAACCUGCCUUUCAGAGGGGGAUAACAGUUGGAAACGACUGCUAAUACCGCAUGGCAUUGAUUUCAGGCAUCUGUUAUCAAUUAAAGAAUUUCGGAAACGGAUAGGCUCGCGUGACAUUAGCUAGAUGGCGGGGUAACGGCCCACCAUGGCGACGAUGUCUAGGGGUUCUGAGAGGAAGGUCCCCCACAUUGGAACUGAGACACGGUCCAAACUCCUACGGGAGGCAGCAGUGAGGAAUAUUGGUCAAUGGACGGAAGUCUGAACCAGCCAAGUCGCGUGAAGGAUGAAGGUUCUAUGGAUUGUAAACUUCUUUGUCUGAGGGUAAAAAAGCGGACGUGUCCGUUCUUGCAAGUAUCAGACGAAUAAGCAUCGGCUAACUCCGUGCCAG
rnacentral:rRNA from 1 species